rnacentral:SRP_RNA from 1 species
GGCUGGGUCCUUCGCAAAGGACUGCUGUGAAUCUGGUCAGGUUCGGAAGAAAGCAGCCAUAAGCAGUUUUGUUCUUGUGCCGAAGGAGUGCCUAUCCUGA